GAUUCCUUUUCUCUUACUCUAUAAUAAUCUUCUACUUUCCACUUUGAUUUUUUUAUUUUGCUUGCUUCCACUUCCACCAACAACUGCAGUUUUCAACUUUGUGAUCCUCAGGACAUGAAGAAGUUGGAAGAGAAUGCUUGAUAUUUACUGUCUUUGAUGAUUGAUAUGAAACAGAAUCAACAGUCUAAGUAGCUUCCAAAAGAAUGCAACAAGAAACUACCAACUGGACCCUCCAAGAGGAUGUAAGCUCAAGAACCAAUCGAGCACUUAUGAGCCAUAGAUCCUCAUUUCAUGGAUUAUGACCUUCCGUUGAUUGAAUUGAUGAUGUAUUUAUGGAUUUUGAUGAAGCUUCCAAUGAUUGAAUUGAUGAUGUA